CAGCCGCCACGGUAAUACGUAGGUGGCAAGCGUUGUCCGGAAUUAUUGGGCGUAAAGGGCUCGCAGGCGGUUUCUUAAGUCUGACGUGAAAGCCCCCGGCUCAACCGGGGAGGGUCAUUGGAAACUGGGAGACUUGAGUGCAGAAGAGGAGAGUGGAAUUCCACGUGUAGCGGUGAAAUGCGUAGAGAUGUGGAGGAACACCAGUGGCGAAGGCGACUCUCUGGUCUGUAACUGACGCUGAGGAGCGAAAGCGUGGGGAGCGAACAGGAUUAGAUACCCCCGUAGUCCCUGUCUCUUAUAC
rnacentral:rRNA from 1 species